AAGCCGAUGAGGAAUAAGUCAAAUUUGGAAUUACCGUCUGAACAAUUUACCCUGAUGUGAAAUUUCUGGCUGACUGAGGCUUCGC